UAUAAUGGCACUUUGAUUUUGUAGUUUUGGUGUUUUUGUGGAUUUUGGGUUAAUGGGUGUGUGUUGACAUCGUUUGUUGAUCGAGUUUUUUUAGGUUUUUUUCACCUACUGAUUUUGGUGUUUUUGCCAAUUUGGUUAAUGGGUAUCCUUUUCAUGUCCUUCUUUUAGCUUUGCUCUGAUUGGAUUCUUGGUGGUUAUUUUAUUUUUAGGGUAUUUGGAUUAGAUUCAUUUGUUUAUGUUUCAUGUUUUUCUUGAUCUGAUGGGAAUUGUGUGGUGGUGGUUUAUUUUUUUUCCCGAGGUUUUGGUCUUAAGAAUUUGCUUAGAGAUUUUGAUUGUGAUGGUUUAACUAACUUACAGGCCCAUGCAUGUUUAACUCCCUUCAAAUUUGGUUAAGUUUAGCAUAUCAACUCAAUUUACAUUUGUUGAUGUUCCUUGUUUCUCUUGAACAUUGUUGCGAUGUAGUUGAAAUGUUUGCCUCCCACUUAAUUAUCAUGCCAUUCUGUUUGGCGCACGUUUUAAGUUUGUUUUAAUCAAUUUGGUUUCAUGUUAGUAACAAAGUUAGUUGAUCUCUUAUCAGUUGCUUGAAAGUGAUGCGAUUUCUUUUGCUUGAUUAGAUGCAUCCAAUCCAUCA